CGCUGCACAGCCAACCAUGCUCUGGGGUGGACCAACGCACUUGUGGUUCACACCGCCGACGACUUUUGGACAAUAUCAUUCAGAGAACCCACACCAAAUAUCCGCUGGAAUCCCAUCUGCCGCUUGUGAUGAUGUCAUCACAUGACCCACACGGUGGCUGUCCAUUGGCUCUUGUCAUUCUGCUUCUCGUGUCCAUGGAUCCUACAGCCACUGAGGUGGUGAGAUCAGUCAGCGACUGUGCUAAAUUCUUCCUGGAAGGAACCCCACCAGAAAUACCAGGAGUCCUGCAGCACGGAACCAUUCAGGACCAGAAUCGUUACAAGCCCAUUUGCCAAACAUUCUAUAAUACCAGGAGGUUCAUGACGCUCUAUGACACAGAUAAGAAGAUCCCAGUGUUUUCUGCAUAUAGAUACACAGGACACACAGUGGACAGACCCAGUGCCAUAUGGAAGGGGGAGCCACAGCUUGAAAAUGCAACGAGUACAGAAGUGAACAUGAGAAAAAUGAAGAAACCAACACACCAGGCUUCCCUAAUAGACUACAGGAGUGAAACUUAUAAUAAAGGGCAUUUGUUUCCAAGUUCUCAUGCAAGCGACAAAGUUGUUCAGAAAUCCACGUUCACCAUGACCAAUGCAGUGCCACAAGAUAAAGCAUUCAAUGUCGGGAGCUGGGGCAGAAUGGAGGAAAACGUAAAAGAUCGGAUGGAUGAAUUAUGCUACAACCAAAACAACCAAAGUGAAGCAUUUGUUGUGACAGGAGCGAUUCCCAGUACUAACACACCACCACUCAACAACAAGGUCAAUAUACCAACAAUUCUCUGGACAGCAUUUUGUUGCUAUAACAAAGUUAGUGGAAAAUGGUUAGCAUAUGCACACUGGGGUGACAACAAUGCAAAUACACCUUGGCUGGAGACCAAAACCUUGGCAGAACUGAAUACUGCUCAUAGAGUUGAGCCGUUUCCAAAUGACAAUUGCCGUGGAGCUAGUCAGUCUUAAACACAACCUUACAAUGGAAAUUGCGCUCUCCAUGUUAAUGAUUAAGCCUUUACUUUUCAUUUGUUUUUUCAAUAUUUCUUAUAAUAUCAGUCAAUCCGUAUAACUUGAUCCCAGAAUAAAGAUAGUACCUAAUAGUCCCAGAUGAGAACUUUGAAAAUCUACUAUGUGCUAGCAAAGUCUUUCCUGCUACCUGAACCUCAACAUGCUAACUCUGGUGCCAAAGUAAUCUGUGUAACAACACCCUAUAUGGGCUUUUCUUUAAAGAUAUAUUUCCUGGUUGUUAUACUGGAUAGUACGUCUUGCUAUUUGAUGGCUCUAACAAGUCAUCUUCUUGCUCUCGCUGAAUGAAUAAUCUAAUCUGUUCUGGUUCUUCUUUAUGAUAUAAAUAAAGCAACCGAUACUGAG